UUUACACACACACACACACACACACACACACACACACACACACACACACACACACACACACACACACAGCAUAAAGCCAGAGCUGUGUCUUAAUCUGCAUUUUCCAGCAGCCACUUUUGUGCCAUUUCACAAACAUACUGCACAGCCGAGUAAAGAAAGAAGAAAAUGUCAACGUUAAUCUGCUGACUUUCUCCUCUCUCAUUUGUUGCCUAGCACAGCUCAAGGCUGACUUUAUUUUUUGUUUAUAAAGGUGAAGUUGCCCGGGUCAUUCACCAAGCCUAGAGACUACCCAUUCCUCUAAAUGUGCUAGAAGUAAAGCGCACAGACUAACAUUUUCACUGUUGUUUUCUAUUUAAACAAGAACCUGCACACGGAUGCAGAAACUUCACUCUGGAGUAAAUUUAGCUGAAUCAAUACGGGUCAGCAGGGCCUAUAACUGAUAAGAUGGAUGAAGCAAAUUCAUUUGCAGCAGAGGCUAUAGGUUAAAAGCAAAGGGCUGUGGGGAAGGAGUUACCAAAUUUAUUGGAUGGUUUUGGAUGCCUCGAUAUUAUAUACUGAAUGGUGCAGUAGCUAAAAUAACUGCAGGUCCUCCAACAACGGAUCAAUGAUGGUUAUGAUCUUCUUUCAGAUUAUGAAGUCCUCUCUGCCCUGGCUCCAGUCCCUGUCCCCAGCAUCUCAUCUCAUCAGCCCUGCUUCCUUGUCCUGGAUCCUCACUGGUGCCAGCUUCCAGCCCAAGCUUCAGCCCCAGAUUCACAAAAGAGAAGAUUUGACAUGCCAGCUCUAUCAAUAAAUUCACAGGAGAGGCUCAGCAAGUCUACACUACACAAUGUUCAACAGCACAGAAACAAUGAAUCUCUUUCUUUGGUUAUCGAUCUUAAACUUACAACUGCUACCGACAGUAUGAACGAUUAGACUAAUUUAAGUACAAGUGGCAUAAUUACAUAAAUCAACUAUUACAUGCUUUCAAUGACUAAGUAAAAACUUUAAGGAUUUGGCUAACAUUAGAAAUUCCUAAUUUCUGCCCCGAAUACAUUGUUAUGAUAACUAAGACACAUCUGACUCACAGAAGCAUCAGUUUUAGCAGCAUCACUGGAGGCAAUAAUGAUUUCAUGCAUCAUGUUUCAGAAAGCAUAUUCAGAUGUGCCUGAUUAAACAUUCUCAAAAGAUGAUAAUUUUAAUCAUUAAUCAUAAUUUCUUAUUUAUACAUGCUCAGUUAAACUACUUCUACUUUAACCUAUUCCUACGACCUCGAUAAAUCCUCCCAGGCUUUUUUAAAAUACGGAUCUUACCUUGACCCUAGUGCUUCUGCCAGACCAGAGUGUUUAAAGUUCUAACUGUGAUCUUGAAUAUUAAAUAUAACCAUUCAUUUUGCAUUUCCUUGUGACAUUGUAAUGAAGGGUUCUGGAUGACUUGCUCAGGUUUUUCCUUUGCCACUGUGUCCAUAAUGAGUGUAGCUAAUGCACAUAAUUCAGUAGAAAUAAAUAGCUCUAAUUGAGUUUGGUUUAAAUUGCAUGAUUUAAUCAAUGGGAUCAUAUUCUUGUGGCUGUUUGGCUUGUAAUGACAUCACUUUUGGCUGUA